UGACCUGUGUAUUCCCUCAGGCCCGUUGGAGUCUGGGGGAAGAUUGUGGGGUCCUUGUGCGCCAUCGCCGGUGUGCUGACGAUCGCUUUACCCGUCCCUGUCAUCGUUUCAAACUUCAAUUACUUCUACCAUCGGGAGACAGACCAAGAGGAGAUGCAGAGUCAGAACUUCAACCACGUCACCAGUUGCCCGUACCUUCCUGGCACUGUUGGCCAGCACCUGAAGAAGGACUCGUUAUCGGAAUCCUCGUCCGACAUCAUGGAGCUGGAGGAGGGCAUGCUGAUGCAACAUGAUCUCAGUAAAAAGCAGAAUUGCAACCCUCGCCACAACAACAAUAUAAACGCCAUGAGCAUCGAGACUGAUGUCUGACACUUGUGUGUCACACAGGACUCGAGUAGUGCCAAUAUAGCGUGCACGAAGUAACAGUUAAACGUUGGUGGAGCUGCCGUAUCAUCUUCACACUACGGAUCUACGUGGUGGUGGAGGCAGCCUUGAAUGCACUCGGGUCAUAUUGGGUCAGGAGGUCAGAGGUUUUAUCUCUUUCUUGAAAAGAGAUGAUCCAGUUUGGGGAUGAGAGAGAGUUUGAGAUAGAGAAACGGAGGAAAGAAAAUAUACAGUAAAGAAAAAAGGUUACCCUAGUCAGGCUCACUUCUUCAGGGUAAAUCAAUAGAAAAACACAAAGAAACGAGAGAGAAAAAAAACGAUAGUAAAUUGGAGCAGAUAAAGGCAUAAGAAAAGGCAAACCAGGCUCGAAGAUCAGGUCACGCCAUUAUCACAGGAUCACCACGUCAGACAUGCUAGGGAAGUGGGCGUCUGCGUCGAGACCGAAGACUCGCCACGCCCACGACUCCGCGCACAUACGACCCCAAAGGUUUCAAGGCAGCCGAAGUUCCCAGAUGAAAACAACAACAACCACUGACCUAUGACCUCCAUUCUUGACCUGAUUUGACCGCAGAGUGGCGCAAAAAUGCAAUCAAAAUAGCGCAAGAUAGGAAGGCUGCAUAGCUGGACUAAGAAGUGUUCGAUAUACUGUACAUGUGAUAUCCCCUAAUCUAUAUAGUGGAAGAAUGACCUCAAUUAGAAAAUAAUUGUUUUCUCAGAUAGGAAAUGUCUAAAUUUGUUUUUUAUAAUAAACCAAUUGGUUGUUAAAUCAGUGUGGUGAUAGUGAAUGCCGCUGAGAUGAUGCGUGCGUUGGGAUGAGCCCCUCUGGGACCCCGAGCAGUCCUCGAACGCCCGCUCCUCUCCUGCAGAAGGAGGACCUGGGGAAGGGAGGGCUGCCGCCGGACUCAGAGCGGCUCACCUCGUGACGCGGUUCCCAAGAAGUGGUUCAAGUUUAUCCGCUACCUAACCCCUUCUCUAGACGGACUUGCAAAUGUUUGAUAACCCUAAGGUCCCCAUCGUGCCAGGGAGGUCACUUCCCCUCUGUUGAUCCCCCCUUCCGGUAACCCUUCUCCAGCCGAGUCCAGCGCCCCUGGGCCGCGGCGGCGCUCGAGGAGGGCUUCAAGGUAUACACGCUCUCUGGCAUAUUCUCCUUCCGUCUCAACUUUAUCCUGCCGCUUCCAAAGAACACAAGGUAUCUGCAAGCGGUCCUUGGAAUCCAUAUCUUACAGCUCUGGUUCUCGGGUGGCCCACCAGCUUCAUGGGGUGUCACAGGGCGCCCCGGGGUCCUCUCCGGACGGACGGGCGACCCGGUCGAGUCCUCCUGAAGCUGGUGAGCCGCCCUUAUUUCAGAUCCCAUCGUAGGAGCAUUCUAUGGUAGUGGACCCCACGUAUGACUCCCCCCAACUGCCCCGAAGCACCACCACUGUUGUUGAUUUUUUUCCUUUCGAUCUUAUUCCUGAUCUGCCAUUUUUCUGGUGUUUGUAUUUUGAGCCCUCACUCCCCUGGACUCUUCCUCGACCACGCCUUCCCCAGCCCCACACUUUGAACGACUACUACCACCUCCUCUUGGCCUCUUCUGCCGCAGUAGUUCUAACCCUCGAAGUAUUAUAACCAACUCUUUGGAACUACCUUCCUCCCUCUCCUCCCCCCCUCCGCCUCACCCCACCCCUCCCCUCCCCCUUCUCCCCCCCUUCCUCUUCGCCAGAUGCCAAAGUGUUUGCAAGGACCUCCAGUAGUAGCAGUAUUUCCCCCGUGUGGGCAGAUGGGGGGGGCAGCUACGGGUGAUAGGAGUGAAAACCUUUUGGGUAACUUUUCUUCAUAUGAUCCCCUACCUAAUGUCAUUCCAACUCCUACAUGAAUUAGAACUUUCCCAGGUUGAACAGCAAUAAGGCAUAACAGUUUAUCAAUACCAUUGUAACUUUAGGAUUUGUUUUUUGUUCACUUUGCAUAAUAACAGUUUCGAAUAUUAGCUCUUUACGAUGCAUUUCAUAAUAUAUUGUUGUUCAACUGUUCCCCAAUAUACAUUCUCCUGUGUUAGUAAGUCAAGUGUGGGUACGAUGUUCGAAGACCGUUGCUGGUGAUAAAAGGUGCAUCAUUGCACUGCUGAUAUUGAGUGAUAUAAGGCCGAGGGGUUCCCCAGGAGUUCCUAUGGGGUUCCCUAGGAGUCCGAAGUGUUCCCCAGGAGUUCCUAUGGGGUUCCCUAGGAGUCCGAAGUGUUCCCCAGGAGUUCGUGAAGGAGUCUCCGGGGUCCCCUAGGGGUUAGUCUUCCCCUUCUGUGACCACUGCUACCACCUGCUUCCACAACCCACAACCAUCGCCAAAUCCAAUGCCCGCUGCGCAGCCACCCAGUAGAAGAACAAAAAAAUGAUAAUGAUGAUAAUAAUAAUAAUAAUAAUAAUAAUAAUAAUAAUAAUAAUAAUAAUAAAAACUUGUGCGCAAACGGACGGGGAGGAACAACAAAUAAAUGAGCAACGAAUGAUGCAGCUGCCGUGAUCAGACUCCGUUUAGUUACGUCAAGCAAGUGGUGAUGUUUGUGCCUGAAGCAAAUUAUACUGAAGCUUUACAAAGAAUGUAUAUAUUCGUUAUUCUAGUGAUUCAUUAGUUACUACUAAGAACAAUGGCCUGACUGAAGGAGGGAGGAAGGGACGUUAAAGAAAGCAGCUGGCGCGACAAUUUUUUUUCUCUCUCUCAUUUUUUUCUUUUUUUUUUCUUUUUUUUCUUUUUGCAUUCUGGAAGUAGUAGUGAAAAUGGUGGCAGUAAUAUGUGCUGGAAAACCUCAGCUGUGAGACACCGCGUGCGCUAGAGCUGACAGUAUGCUCCUCAACAUGCUAUGCGGGAAUUUGUUUUCAAACCGUCUUAUUCAAACCUGAACUUCAUAACUAUAAGAUAAUAAACCAGCACUGUUCUAAGUGCUGGAUAAUCCUCGGGUUGUUUCUUUUUGCCACAUUUAUUGGAUGGUUUGAGAUACCAAUUCGGUGAGGUUGGUACCCCUGUGCGUGAAAAUGGCGCAGAAUAAAAAUAUAUAUAUAUUAUUAAAAAAAACACAUAAGAACUGAAGAAAACAAACAAAAAGUAAUGUCAAAUCAAAGAAGUCACAAUCCUCAAGUAUCUUUGUGAGAAUGAGAUGCCAAUAUUUCCACAAGACAUCGUGAGGUAACCAAGUACUCAAGCCCGGGUCAUGAAGAUGAUUCCUGGCAGUACAUUAUAACGGGGAAGACUGAAGACACGUGAACACGAGGCGAUCAGUGGUGAUAGGUUUACGAUGGACGUCCAGAUACGAAACAGGAUGGCUUAGUGAAAAAAAGGCUAUGAACUUAUAUAAAUAAAUAUAUAUAUAUAUAUACAAUAACGUUGCAAUGCUUCAGGGUCUAUAAGGCAGGAGAGUGCAAAAUGGAAAAUAAAACGAAGGAAGUGUUAUGUACGUUACGAAGAAAAGUGGAAAGCGAAGCAUGGAGGAAUUACAUAGAGUUAUAUAUGUAUAGAUAAAGUAUAUAACUUGUCAAGAAAGGUAAAUUGUCAAGACUGAUCAGGAAAACGAUAGCAGAGAUAUGGAUACACGAAAAGUAUAGAAAAUAAAGGGGCAGAUAAAAGGAAAUAAACAAACAAAAAAAGUAAUAUGUAUAAAACAAAGAAAAUGCAGAGCAAGAAAACAUUCAUUGGCAAGUCCCACACACACGAAAAAUAAUGCUAAUAAACCAAAAAAAAUAUAUAAUGAAAUAAACAUUUACCAGAGUAGCAGAAAUGGGUGUAGUUUCCGUCAAAGGCACAAGUCACAGAGAGCCUCAUCCCCUCUCCGAUAUAAGAUGUGCCGCCCUAUCACUCAGGGAGGAUGCUACUAUCAUUACAAAAAAAAAUACUUAAAAAAAACAUCGGAUUUUUAAAUUUCAGGAGGUUCCCUUUUUUUGGAAAUUGUUCUCAAGGCGCCCCCUCGCCCCACUUCCCUCUCUCCCCUUCUCUCUCUAGCCUUGGGGACUUGACCUCUUGAGAUAGCUGAAAUUGGUGAAGAUUUGACCCUAAAGCCCCUUCAGUGCUUCGUAAGAACUCUCGGAGAUUAUGUCAGGUUUCUUUUUCGAAAGUAGACAUUUUUAACCCUUUGGGACGAAGAAGCUUUGUAAGAAUCCAACCUUGUGUAAUUCAAACAAUUUUCAAUCUUUGACGGUACUUCCUACCAAUGUAAGCUUGGCAUUUUCUUUUCUUUUUCUCCGAUUUUGGAUAGAAAACUUGAUAUUAGUGAGUGGGAAAAAUACCUCUGCUUGGUUUAUCAAUAACAUGCUCUAGAAACUAGCCUAUCGUAAAAAUAAACCCAAGUAUAUAAUCUUCCAGUGUUCUUACGUUGACAAGGCAUAACCCCUAAGCCCAUCUUUUGCGCACUGUCCGAGCGCAGGAUGCUUAUGGAGGGCCACUGACGCAGGCAGCUGGAAUGGACGCCGUAAGGAAUCGAGUAAGACUAGCAGAAGCUUUGAAUCUACAGUAAAGAGGAAAACAGACCAGUAGUGAAAUUAAAAUACAAGUGAAAAAAAUAUGAAAUAAUAACAAUAAUAAUAAUGUUCAAGUAUUUAGCUUGUCAGACUUAAAUGAUAUUUAAAGUACACAUAAUUAAAACUGCCCAUUCAUCACUUAACCUGCAUAGACAAUUCAGGAGGUAUCAGCUACCGAGGUGUACGAAAUAUAAAAAAAGACACGUUUUGUGUUCAUAUCACAACCUUUCACCCCUUUGCCUUUGCAUCGUUUAUAGCCAUAUUUCCUAAGUGAUGAUGUUGGAUUGUCUAAACAUAUCGUUCAUUCAAAAUAUGAAGCCUUGUCCUUUGUGUGAAUCAUCCUCACUUAUUACAUUUUGAAGUUUGUGUCCUCUUUCAUCAUUCUUCUUUGUGCUGCUUCUUCUUCAGUCAUAACUUCAGCCAGACAUCUACAGUGUAAAUAAUAAUGGUUUAAGUAAGUGGAUGACUGUACCCGGUGCUAAAUUUCCUUUACAGUCAAGGAAGAGGAAAUAAAUACAAAAAAUAUGAUGAUGAGUAAAAAAAAAAAAAAAAAAAAAAAAAUAUUGCAAAAAAAAUAUGAGGUUUAGGUCACUUGUGUCCCAUGUUAUCUGCAGGUACUGUAGUGCAAGACAGAAAUUCAGCCUAGGUCAUCCAAGCGAAAUGUUAGAUCAGGUCAGGCAAAUUUGUAGAGCAAAUCUUAGAAAACUUGUAUGUAUAGCUAGGAAUGGAGAAAAAAAAAACACACAAGAAACGGAAGAAAAAUACAUGCUAAAGAGAAGACGGAAGCCAAGGAGAUCGGUUAUUCCAAAAGUGUUGUGUAUUCAUUGCUGGAUAAGGGUGAGACUCGGGCAAGACAGGCACUUGAGGUUUUAAAUGAUUUUCUUAAAUUAUAACUGACUACCUCCCUCUGUAUUGUACAUGUAAGACAGUAGAAACUACAGCUAGUUAUCUUCACUUGCCAAGCUCAUACUAGUGUACAGGUGACAAGAAAAAUAUUGAUAACACGAAAUGAAAUAGACCAUUAGAAAACAAAUGUAAAACAUCCACAAAUCUUCCUCCACUCUGCUUCAGCCAAAUUGAGGAAAAAAAAACUGUGAA